rnacentral:rRNA from 1 species
AUACAUAGGGUGCGAGCGUUAAUCGGAAUUACUGGGCGUAAAGCGCGCGUAGGCGGCUACUUAAGUCAGAUGUGAAAUCCCCGGGCUCAACCUGGGAACUGCAUCUGAUACUGGGUAGCUAGAGUUUUGGAGAGGGAAGUAGAAUUUCAGGUGUAGCGGUGAAAUGCAUAGAGAUCUGAAGGAAUACCAGUGGCGAAGGCGACUUCCUGGCCAAAAACUGACGCUGAGGUGCGAAAGCGUGGGUAGCAAACGGGAUUAGAAACCCUUGUAGUCC